rnacentral:rRNA from 1 species
UACGUAGGGUGCAAGCGUUGUCCGGAAUUAUUGGGCGUAAAGAGCUCGUAGGCGGUUUGUCGCGUCUGCUGUGAAAACGCGAGGCUCAACCUCGCGCCUGCAGUGGGUACGGGCAGACUAGAGUGCGGUAGGGGAGAUUGGAAUUCCUGGUGUAGCGGUGGAAUGCGCAGAUAUCAGGAGGAACACCGAUGGCGAAGGCAGAUCUCUGGGCCGUAACUGACGCUGAGGAGCGAAAGCGUGGGGGAGCGAACAGG